GGUUGUGGUUCAGUGGUAGAGCACUUGUCUAGCACAUGUGAGGCAUUGGGUUCGAUUCUCAACACCG
rnacentral:tRNA from 1 species